rnacentral:lncRNA from 1 species
UCGCCUAGAUGUAACAUCCAGAUUCAAGGCAUAUCAACAGUGCAGAUUAUCAAAGUAGCCUUUAGGGUCACUCUCAAAGUUAUCUCUUGAAAUGUAGGAAGAUCCGUUGCUCCCUGGUGCCACCAUGUAGCCACCUCCUCCAACACCGCCACCACAACUUUUUCCUCCUCCUCCACCUCCAUGACCACCACCAAUGCUUCUCCUACCUCCUCCACUGCCACCACAAC